ACUCCUACGGGAGGCAGCAGUGGGGAAUAUUGCACAAUGGGGGAAACCCUGAUGCAGCCAUGCCGCGUGUGUGAAGAAGGCCUUCGGGUUGUAAAGCACUUUCAGUAGGGAGGAAGGUAGUGUAGUUAACACCUGCACUAUUUGACGUUACCUACAGAAGAAGCACCGGCUAACUCCGUGCCAGCAGCCGCGGUAAUACGGAGGGUGCGAGCGUUAAUCGGAAUUACUGGGCGUAAAGCGCAUGCAGGCGGCCUGUUAAGUCAGAUGUGAAAGCCCGGGGCUUAACCUCGGAAUUGCAUUUGAAACUGGCAGGCUAGAGUCUUGUAGAGGGGGGUAGAAUUUCAGGUGUAGCGGUGAAAUGCGUAGAGAUCCGAAGGAUACCAGUGGCGAAGGCGGCCCCCUGGACAAAGACUGACGCUCAGAUGCGAAAGCGUGGGGAGCAAACAGGAUUAGAUACCCUGGUAGCACAGAG
rnacentral:rRNA from 1 species